rnacentral:tRNA from 1 species
GCUCACGUAGCUCAGCCGGUAGAGCACUUCCUUGGUAAGGAAGAGGUCAUGGGUUCGAUUCCCGUCGUGAGCACCA